AUACGUAGGUGCCAAGCGUUAUCCGGAUUUACUGGGCGUAAAGGGCGUGUAGGCGGUCUUGCAAGUCAGAAGCGAAAUUCCUGAGCUCAACUCGGGCGCUGCUUCUGAAACUGCAGGACUUGAGUGCUGGAGGGGAUAGCGGAAUUCCUAGUGGAGCGGUAAAAUGCGCAGAUAUUAGGAAGAACACCAGUGGCGAAGGCGGCUUGCUGGACGACAACUGACGCUGAGGCGCGAAAGCGUGGGGAGCAAACAGGAUUAGAUACCCUGGUAGUCCACGCCCUAAACGAUGAAUACUAGGUGUGGGGGGACUGACCCCUUCCGUGCCGGAGUAAACACAAUAAGUAUUCCACCUGGGGAGUACGACCGCAAGGUUGAAACUCAAAUGAAUUGACGGGG
rnacentral:rRNA from 1 species